CUUGGUCGGAGUGGUGGGCUGCUGCCCUCACAAGUUACAGAUUCUGUAACAUACAGAUUCAAAAUAUUCUGAGGGCAGCGGUUCAAGCCCCCACAAAAGUAUUUGUGGGGGCUAACGUGCUUAUUUGUUUAAUAUUUCAAAAAUUUUCUCUCCCUCGUGCAAUACGAGUAGAGUAUGGGCAUCCCUCUUCUGUAAGGGAUUAUUUAUCUGGGCAUGUACUUCACAGAAUUCAAUGUAAUAAUAUAAGUCCCAAUCAUGUAUUUCUGAUUGUAAAUAUCAGUGUAAAAUAUAUGCUAUAAUAGCAGUUGUAAAUAUCUGUGUAAUGCAGUAAUGUAAUAUGAUGAUUAAUCAGUAUUCAAAAAAAAAAACAUGAUAUGAAAGUUGAGGUC
rnacentral:lncRNA from 1 species